GUAGGUGGCAAGCGUUGUCCGGAAUUAUUGGGCGUAAAGCGCGCGCAGGCGGUUCUUUAAGUCUGAUGUGAAAGCCCACGGCUCAACCGUGGAGGGUCAUUGGAAACUGGAGAACUUGAGUACAGAAGAGGAAAGCGGAAUUCCACGUGUAGCGGUGAAAUGCGUAGAGAUGCGGAGGAACACCAGUGGCGAAGGCGGCUUUCUGGUCUGUAACUGACGCUGAGGCGCGAAAGCGUGGGGAGCAAACAGGGAUUAGAUACCCUGGUAGUCCACGCCGUAAACGAUGAGUGCUAAGUGUUAGGGGGGUUUCCGCCCCCCUUAGUGCUGCAGCUAACGCAUUAAGCACUCCGCCUGGGAUACGGCCGCAAGGCUG
rnacentral:rRNA from 1 species